rnacentral:rRNA from 1 species
UGCAGAAUCCCGUGAACCAUCGAGUCUUUGAACGCAAGUUGCGCCCGAAGCCACCAGGUUGAGGGCACGUCUGCCUGGGCGUCACGC